UACGUAUGGUGCAAGCGUUAUCCGGAUUUACUGGGUGUAAGGGGGCGCAGACGGCGAUGCAAGCCAGGAGUGAAAGCCCGGGGCCCAACCCCGGGACUGCUCUUGGAACUGCGUGGCUGGAGUGCAGGAGGGGCAGGCGGAAUUCCUGGUGUAGCGGUGAAAUGCGUAGAUAUCAGGAGGAACACCGGUGGCGAAGGCGGCCUGCUGGACUGCAACUGACGUUGAGGCCCGAAAGCGUGGGGAGCAAACAGG
rnacentral:rRNA from 1 species